AGAGUUUGAUCCUGGCUCAGGAUGAACGCUGGCGGCGUGCCUAACACAUGCAAGUCGAGCGGCAGCGCGAGUAGUUUACUACUUGGCGGCGAGCGGCGAACGGCUGAGUAACGCGUGGGAAUUUGCCCCAAAGUGAGGAAUAACUGCCCGAAAGGGUGGCUAAUGCCGCAUAUGAUCUUCGGAUUAAAGGAUUUAUCCGCUUUGGGAGAAGCCCGCGUCGGAUUAGGUAGUUGGUGAGGUAAUGGCUCACCAAGCCGACGAUCCGUAGCUGGUCUGAGAGGAUGACCAGCCAGACUGGAACUGAGACACGGUCCAGACUCCUACGGGAGGCAGCAGUGAGGAAUCUUCCACAAUGGGCGAAAGCCUGAUGGAGCAACGCCGCGUGCAGGAUGAAGGCCUUCGGGUUGUAAACUGCUUUUAUAAGUGAGGAAUAUGACGGUAGCUUAUGAAUAAGGAUCGGCUAACUACGUGCCAGCAGCCGCGGUCAUACGUAGGAUCCGAGCGUUAUCCGGAGUGACUGGGCGUAAAGAGUUGCGUAGGCGGUUUGUUAAGUGAAUAGUGAAAUCUGGUGGCUCAACCAUACAGGCUAUUAUUCAAACUGGCAAACUCGAGAGUGGUAGAGGUCACUGGAAUUUCUUGUGUAGGAGUGAAAUCCGUAGAUAUAAGAAGGAACACCGAUGGCGUAGGCAGGUGACUGGACCAUUUCUGACGCUAAGGCACGAAAGCGUGGGGAGCGAACCGGAUUAGAUACCCGGGUAGUCCACGCCGUAAACGAUGGAUACUGGCUGUUGGAGGUAUCGACCCCUUCAGUAGCGAAGCUAACGCGUUAAGUAUCCCGCCUGUGGAGUACGGUCGCAAGACUAAAACAUAAAGGAAUUGACGGGGACCCGCACAAGCGGUGGAUCGUGUUCUUUA
rnacentral:rRNA from 1 species